GACGAACGCUGGCGGCGUGCCUAACACAUACAAGUGGAGCGACGAACCAGGGCUUGCCCUGGGGCAGAGCCGCGAACGGGUGAGUAACACGUGGGUUACCUGCCUCGAUGACCGGGACAACCCGAGGAAACUCGGGCUAAUACCGGAUGUGCCCGCAAGGGGAAAGGAAGCUUCGGCCUCCGCAUCGAGAUGGGCCCGCGGCCCAUUAGCUUGUUGGUGAGGUAACGGCUCACCAAGGCUCCGAUGGGUAGCUGGUCUGAGAGGACGAUCAGCCACACUGGGACUGAGACACGGCCCAGACUCCUACGGGAGGCAGCAGUGGGGAAUCUUGCGCAAUGCGCGAAAGCGUGACGCAGCAACGCCGCGUGGGGGAAGAAGGCUUUCGGGUUGUAAACCCCUUUCAGUUGGGACGAAGCUUCGUCGGUUAAUAGCCGGCAGGAGUGACGGUACCUUCACAAGAAGCACCGGCUAACUACGUGCCAGCCGCCGCAGUAAAAC
rnacentral:rRNA from 1 species